rnacentral:rRNA from 1 species
UACGGGGGGAGCAAGCGUUGUUCGGAUUUACUGGGCGUAAAGGGCGCGUAGGCGGUCAGCACAAGUCAGUUGUGAAAUCUCCGGGCUUAACUCGGAAAGAUCAACUGAUACUGUGCGACUAGAGUGCAGAAGGGGCAACUGGAAUUCUCGGUGUAGCGGUGAAAUGCGUAGAUAUCGAGAGGAACACCUGCGGCGAAGGCGGGUUGCUGGGCUGACACUGACGCUGAGGCGCGAAAGCCAGGGGAGCGAACGGG